rnacentral:rRNA from 1 species
UACGAAGGUCCCAAGCGUUAUCCGGAUUUAUUGGGUUUAAAGGGUGCGUAGGUGGAUUAAUAAGUCAGUGGUGAAAGCCCGGAGCUCAACUCUGGAACUGCCGUUGAUACUGUUAGUCUUGAGUACAGUUGAGGUGGGCGGAAUGUGUCAUGUAGCGGUGAAAUGCUUAGAUAUGACACAGAACACCGAUUGCGAAGGCAGCUCACUAAGCUGUAACUGACACUGAGGCACGAAAGUGUGGGUAGCAAACAGG